CCAACGUGGAUAUCCUGUGGGGUCGCUCCCGCAGGCUCUGUCCUUGUGGCGUAUGGGAGCGUAGCGUCUUGUGGCGCAGUGACGUACAGUCCCGUUCCACGACGUUGGAGAUCAUGCCGGUCUUCUGGCUGGUGUGGACGGUGUCCUGUAUAUUCCUACAACUUCUCAGAGCUCUUGAGCUGUGACCGAGGAGCCAAACCAUGCAGGAUACACUU